AUUGAACGCUGGCGGCAGGCCUAACACAUGCAAGUCGAGCGAGCGGCGGGCGGGUGAGUAUUGUAUGGGGAUCUGCGCGAUAGAGGGGGAUAAAUACUGGAAACGGUGGAUAAUAUCGCACACUGCAUGAUGUACCCACAUGGGAUUAGCUAGUAGGUAAGGUAAUGGCUUACCUAUGCGACGAUCCCUAGCUGGUCUGGGAGGAUGAACAGCCACACUGGAACUGAGACACGGCCCAGACUCCUACGGGAGGCAGCAGUGGGGAAUAUUGCACAAUGGGCGCAAGCCUGAUGCAGCCAUGCCGCGUGUAUGAAGAAGGCCUUAGGGUUGUAAAGUACUUUCAGCGGGGAGGCGUUACCCGCAGAAGAAGCACCGGCUAACUCCGUGCCAGCAGCCGCGGUAAUUC
rnacentral:rRNA from 1 species